rnacentral:lncRNA from 1 species
AGCAAUCAGCGAGAUUCCGUGGGCGUAGGACCCUCCGAGCCAGGUGCGGGAUAUAUUCUCGUGGUGCGCCGUUUUUUAAGCCCGUCGGAAAAGCGCAGUAUUCGGGUAGGAGUGACCUGAUUUUCCAGGUGCCAUCUGUCACCCCUUUCUUUGACUCAGAAAGGGAACUCCCUGACCCCUUGCACUUCCCAAGUGAGGCAAUGCCUCGCCCUGCUUCGGCUCGCGCACGGUGCGCGCACCCACUGACCUGCGCCCACUGUCUGGCACUCCCUAGUGAGAUGAACCCGGUACCUCAGAUGGAAAUGCAGAAAUCACCCGUCUUCUGCGUCGCUCACGCUGGGAGCUGUAGACCGGAGCUGUAGACAGGAGCUGUUCCUAUUCGGCCAUCUUGGCUCCUCCUUGACAAGCUUGAAGGUGAGCACCUCGAAGGGCUUCUUUUUAUGUUGAAAGGCACGGGUUUGGAUGGCGGUUCAUCAGAGGUCAAUACCCCAGUUUGAGAAAGUCCACUGUGGGGAGGAAAGAGAGACUUGUAAGUACCAACUGUGCUCCACUCUGGUUUUGUCUGUAAGC